UUUUUUUUUUUUUUUUUUUUUUUUUUUAAAGAAACAUAUAAAGAACUCUUAACAAGAAGUAUAAAAAUCUCCUUGGUGCCAACCAGACGAGGCUCAUACAGAAGGAGAGGCCACAGCUACCGCUGGGGCUUGGGAACAUAGUCUGCCCCAGGCCUGUACUACUGCCCGAGGGCUGAGAACCUGCCUGUGACUGUGCAUCUCUAUGACCUGAGGAGCGCUGGAGCCAAGCUGCUGCCAGCUCUUAGCGAACAAAAAACUCUCACCGCCUUCAAGCCCAUAGGAACAGUGAUCCUGCUUGAUUUCCACCCACGUUGCAAUAGCAAUCUUUUACAACGUGCAAACAAACACCAAUGGGACCGCAUUUCUGCACGAUGCGGCUUCACCCCAUCACAACGCAAACAUGAAGUUAACCUUGUAACUGUUUGACAAACCUGAGAACUUAACCCUUGAAACCCAGAGGGGGCAAAGGCAGAACUAAGGCGUGCUGCCUUCCUCUCACUGCAGGAUUACUGCUCCAGCGUGAGCCUUAGCUUGAUGUUCAUGGCUGCCAGCUCUGCCAAGAAGUACCGGAAGACGUGGGGCACGGGGAUGACCUGGAUGGUGUCCAUCCUGCCACAGAGCAUGCAGGAAUACCUCCUGUUGCUUGCUACAGAGGAAGGUGGUGGGCGCUGGAGCAGAGGAGAUAACAUGCUGCCGCAGCUCGUGCAAACAUAGGCUUCUGAGCCAUCGGAGCAGCUGAACAGGCGGUCGUGCAGCAGGAAGGAGGUGCCAUGAGCCAACAGCGCAUCACGCUCCAUCUCACCAAAGCGAAUCCCCCCUUCCACGUUCCUCCCCUUGACGGGCUGGUUGGUGACAGAAUCCCGGGGUCCUGUAGUCCUCACCUGGAACUUGUCUGAGACCAUGUGGCGCAGGCGCUGGUAGUACACGACUCCCACAAAGAUGUCUGCCUCCAGCUCCACGCCGCUGAUUCCGCUGUACAUCUUUUCUGUCCCAAAGAAGUUAUAGCCCGCGCUCACCAAAGUCUCACCAAAGUACUUCAAGGCGGAGUUUUUUUCCGUGAAGGUGAAGGGAGUGGCAUCGUAGUAGGCGCCGUGCAGCGCUGCUGACUUCCCCGCCAUGCUCUCAAUUAACAUCCCGAUGGUCAUACGGGAGGGGAACCCAUGGGGGUUGAAGAGGAUGUCUGGAACCAUCCCAUUCUCCGUGAAUGGCAUGUCUUCAACAGGCCAGAGCUGGCUCAGGAUGCCCUUCUGCCCAUGGCGGCUGGCAAAUUUGUCUCCAACAGUUGGGUUUCGAGGAACUCUCACAGUGAUGCAAGCCUUCUUGAAUUUCCCAGUGCCACGGUCAUUACUGCACAGCUUGAUGUUGUCCACAAUGCCAACUUCUUUAUUCCUGCGUAGGUGGAAAAACAUUCACAGCAAAGGUAUCAGAUAUGCUCAUGACUUUGAAGUGAAACAAAGAAACCAACCCACUUUUAAAUCCAAUGAAGAGCUGGGGAUCACCACUUUUUUUGAAGAAUGUCAUUCAGGGAAAUCAGACUGCACAAGAAUUAGAGCACAGCAGUCAAACAAAGGUAUCACCCAAGUGCCAUUUGUUUGCUGUUUCUAAUGCUAGCAGCACAACUGCAACUUCCAUGUGAUGAGGUAAUGUGUCACCCAUGAUAAUAAAGUCAAAAUUAUUUAAACCUGGUUCAUCAGUACUACAGCCAA